GAUGAACGCUGGCGGCGUGCCUAAUACAUGCAAGUCGAGCGAACGGACGAGAAGCUUGCUUCUCUGAUGUUAGCGGCGGACGGGUGAGUAACACGUGGAUAACCUACCUAUAAGACUGGGAUAACUUCGGGAAACCGGAGCUAAUACCGGAUAAUAUUUUGAACCGCAUGGUUCAAAAGUGAAAGACGGUCUUGCUGUCACUUAUAGAUGGAUCCGCGCUGCAUUAGCUAGUUGGUAAGGUAACGGCUUACCAAGGCAACGAUGCAUAGCCGACCUGAGAGGGUGAUCGGCCACACUGGAACUGAGACACGGUCCAGACUCCUACGGGAGGCAGCAGUAGGGAAUCUUCCGCAAUGGGCGAAAGCCUGACGGAGCAACGCCGCGUGAGUGAUGAAGGUCUUCGGAUCGUAAAACUCUGUUAUUAGGGAAGAACAUAUGUGUAAGUAACUGUGCACAUCUUGACGGUACCUAAUCAGAAAGCCACGGCUAACUACGUGCCAGCAGCCGCGGUAAUACGUAGGUGGCAAGCGUUAUCCGGAAUUAUUGGGCGUAAAGCGCGCGUAGGCGGUUUUUUAGUCUGAUGUGAAAGCCCACGGCUCAACCGUGGAGGGUCAUUGGAAACUGGAAAACUUGAGUGCAGAAGAGGAAAGUGGAAUUCCAUGUGUAGCGGUGAAAUGCGCAGAGAUAUGGAGGAACACCAGUGGCGAAGGCGACUUUCUGGUCUGUAACUGACGCCGAUGUGCGAAAGCGUGGGGAUCAAACAGGAUUAGAUACCCUGGUAGUCCACGCCGUAAACGAUGAGUGCUAAGUGUUAGGGGGUUUCCGCCCCUUAGUGCUGCAGCUAACGCAUUAAGCACUCCGCCUGGGGAGUACGACCGCAAGGUUGAAACUCAAAGGAAUUGACGGGGACCCGCACAAGCGGUGGAGCAUGUGGUUUAAUUCGAAGCAACGCGAAGAACCUUACCAAAUCUUGACAUCCUUUGACAACUCUAGAGAUAGAGCCUUCCCCUUCGGGGGACAAAGUGACAGGUGGUGCAUGGUUGUCGUCAGCUCGUGUCGUGAGAUGUUGGGUUAAGUCCCGCAACGAGCGCAACCCUUAAGCUUAGUUGCCAUCAUUAAGUUGGGCACUCUAAGUUGACUGCCGGUGACAAACCGGAGGAAGGUGGGGAUGACGUCAAAUCAUCAUGCCCCUUAUGAUUUGGGCUACACACGUGCUACAAUGGACAAUACAAAGGGCAGCGAAACCGCGAGGUCAAGCAAAUCCCAUAAAGUUGUUCUCAGUUCGGAUUGUAGUCUGCAACUCGACUACGUGAAGCUGGAAUCGCUAGUAAUCGUAGAUCAGCAUGCUACGGUGAAUACGUUCCCGGGUCU
rnacentral:rRNA from 1 species